AGCAACCCCAUCAAAUUCAGCAUCAUCUGCUGUGGUUGCUGCUGGCUCAGCCAGCUGCUGCAGAAAUACCUGCAGCUUGUGGGCCCCACAUCAUGGGGUUACAGGAUGGUUUGGGUUGGAAGGGAUCU
ensembl:snoRNA